rnacentral:lncRNA from 1 species
AUUAUGUCGUAUAACACCUGAGACAUUUUAGUAAAAAGAUCGGACACAAAAAGGGACGUCUCAAACCCAGCUAACUGGUUUAUUUCUCGACCAUCCUAUAUCAUGAUAGCUUCACGAAUGACUUGCCCACUGGCGCCACACUGGCCUCGCUGUUUUCAACGGUUCUCAGGUUGCCGGGGCGGCUUGUUUGAACUGUUUGAACCACAGGUUUGAACUGUUUCAACGGGAGUCAUGGCAGAUCCACUUGGAGGCUUAUUUAAACCAAAGUCCCGCUGGCGGGAAAAGAUAACGGACGGAGCAGCACUGCGUGGCCUCGCAAUCCCAGCGACCCGACGAGCUCGCAGUGGUGCUCGGAAGACGACCCUCCCAAAGCCGACGACGCGCACUCGCGCGUACAUGCGCAAGCGAUCACCUCUGUGGACAGCGAAGAAACAUCGUCGCACUGUGACAACUUUGUUGGCGUUCGUUUCAUAAAACCCGUUCUAUAAGGAGCUUGUGUCCACCCUGAAAGGCCUGGCGAGCCACGUGCUCGUAUUCAAGCUGGUGCCACGAGGUGGGCCUUUCGGGCAUGCCAGGGAGGAUGAGAGGCUGUCCCUGAACCGCCUACUAGUACGGAAGGUGUUGCCCUCGGCGUUACCAUCAUGAAUGUCGACUACCUCUUCUCAACCGAGGCAACAUGGUCAACCUCGACAAGCUGGCUACUGACCAGUACCACGUGUGCCGUGUCCGCGGCAUCUAGCGUCUUGCAUUUGCGCUCGGCAAGGCACUCGCAAAACUUUAUGGUAAUUCUAUCCUUGGUGGGUGCUGUGCCCCAUUCUAACCUUUCGAAGGCCACAGGUGUUUAAGAUGUGGAGCCUGUGGCCAGUGGGGAGGUGUAUGUCUCCAAUUUGCCGGACCCUAGCACUAGCUAAGUUACCGCCGAAUUCACAAACCUCAUUUCAAUUGAGGCGCCCCUCCACUUCCUCAAGGAAGGUGUGAGGGCCGGUGCUGGGGAGGGGCCAGUCGCGACGACAAAUAGGCGGCCUAGGCUGCUUAGCCGUCCUCGCGAUUGGCCAGUGCCGUCCCUCGUGCCUUCCUUGAGGAAGUGGGGGGGUGCCUCAAUUGGAAUAAAGGUUUGUGAAUUCGGCAGUUAGUGUCUCUUUUCCCCUAUGUGCAAUCCCAGCCAUUAUGAGCUAGAAUGAAGAGCUUUCCUACAAGAACCUUUCUAAUCCGUUAUUUCAAAGUUUGUUUAUUUCUAAAGAGCAUCUCAGUGCCUGCAUUUUGAUGUCAUAAUACUCUACUCUAAGAUCUCAAAAGGUAGUCCACCCCUAUUUUUGGCUUGAUUUGCUUUACUUUUUGAACACCGAAAGAUAGACUACUUCUAGUAAUAGUAGUGUUGGGAUCAGUGAUGGCCUCGACACAAAUGCGGCUAGUUAGCUGUGGCGGGAUACAAGUGAAUGUUGCUGACUGGGAAGUACAUACCUCGGGAUUUUAUGGUUUGUGCCAAAUAGCUUUAAAAAUGAAGGGAUCUGCAGAGAUGCUUGAAAAAUCAUCACUUUUCUCGUGGUAAGGAACGAAUUCAGGGCCAUAGAAGAACUGCAACAAAUUGUGUAGUUGGGCUAGUUCGUUGGUCAUUUUGAAAUGGUAUCUGUCUGCUUCUUUUUAUGUUUACUUACUGUACCAUGCAGAAGUAAAAUUUUCAGUCGUAAGUGAGCGCUGUGUCUGUGUUCUCUUCGUCUUUUUCAGCCAUAGGGGGGCUCACACACCAUUGGUUGGGUGGCUUGCAAACCAUGUCGCUGAUUUCCAUUGUUGAUGUGCACUUUUUCCCAUAAAAAGAAACAAAAUCAAUCAAAGCAUCAAGCGAAAAGUUCAGUGCCUAAUCAUGAAUGCUACAAACGGAAUAUUUG